UAUGGCCCUUAUCAAGAAAUGAAGGGAAUCUGCCAUGAUGGUCCUACACGUGUAUUCUGGGAAGUGGCGUCCAAAUGGUGUUUUUGCAAGUGCGGGAGUCAGUAAUUUGACUUCAGAGAUUACAGAACUAAAGGCCUGUGUGAUCCAUGACCGCAAACCCAGGGACUCGUGCUCAGACGCCUCCAUA